CCUACGUGCGGCAGCAGUGAGGAAUAUUGGUCAAUGGGCGAGAGCCUGAACCAGCCAAGUCGCGUGAGGGACGACGGUCCUAUGGAUUGUAAACUUCUUUUGUAGGGGAACAAAGGCGUCCACGGGUGGGCGGAUGAGUGUACCCGAAGAAAAAGCAUCGGCUAACUCCGUGCCAGCAGCCGCGGUAAUACGGAGGAUGCGCGCGUUAUCCGGAUUGAUUGGGUUUAAAGGGAGCGUAGGCGGACAGUCAAGUCAGCGGUAACAAUUCGGUGCUCACCGGCGUAAGGCAGUUGACACUGGCAGUCUUGAGUGGGCGAGAAGUAUGCGGAAUGCGUGGUGUAGCGGUGAAAUGCAUAGAUAUCACGAAGAACGCCGAUUGCGAAGGCAGCAUACCGGCCCGCUACUGACGCUGAUGCACGAAAGCGUGGGUAUCGAACAGGAUUAGAUACCCGGGUAGUC
rnacentral:rRNA from 1 species